AUAUUGGACAAUGGGCGCAAGCCUGAUCCAGCCAUGCCGCGUGAGUGAUGAAGGCCCUAGGGUUGUAAAGCUCUUUCAGCGGGGAAGAUAAUGACGGUACCCGCAGAAGAAGCCCCGGCUAACUUCGUGCCAGCAGCCGCGGUAAUACGAAGGGGGCUAGCGUUGCUCGGAAUUACUGGGCGUAAAGCGCACGUAGGUGGAUUGUUAAGUCGGGGGUGAAAUCCUGGAGCUCAACUCCAGGACUGCCUCCGAAACUGGCGAUCUUGAGUCCGGGAGAGGUGAGUGGAACUGCGAGUGUAGAGGUGAAAUUCGUAGAUAUUCGCAAGAACACCAGUGGCGAAGGCGGCUCACUGGCCCGGUACUGACGCUGAGGUGCGAAAGCGUGGGGAGCAAACA
rnacentral:rRNA from 1 species